rnacentral:snRNA from 1 species
CUCGCUUCUCGGCUGUGUGAGCUAAGAUCAUGUGUAGUAUCUGUUCUUUAGAGUGUAAUUUCUGCCGUGGUCUCCAAACUGAGACAGAUAAAAUUACCUGUAUUUUUCCUUUACGAAUGGGUGCUGUGAGCUUGCUCAACCCCAUCCACGGGUCAGCCUCGUAUUGCAUUACCUCCAGGAUUGACCCAUUAUUG